AGAGUUUGAUCCUGGCUCAGAGCGAACGUUAGCGGGAGGCUUAACACAUGCAAGUCGAGCGAGAACAGGGACUUCGGUCCCUUAGUAAAGCGGCGGACGGGUGAGUAACACGUGGAUAAUCUGCCCUUUGGCGGGGGACAACAAUUCGAAAGGAUUGCUAAUACCGCAUAAGUCUAGUGAGCCUCAGGGUUCAUUAGGGAAAGAUGGCCUCUUCUUGAAAGCCGUCACCGAAGGAUGAGUCCGCGUAGCAUCAGCUUGUUGGUGGGGUAAUGGCCUACCAAGGCAAAGACGCUUAGCUGGUCUGAGAGGAUGAUCAGCCACACUGGGACUGAGAUACGGCCCAGACUCCUACGGGAGGCAGCAGUGGGGAAUAUUGGACAAUGGGCGCAAGCCUGAUCCAGCCAUGCCGCGUGUGUGAAGAAGGCCUUCGGGUUGUAAAGCACUUUCAGUUGUGAGGAAAGGGAUGUAGUUAAUAGCUGCAUUCUGUGACGUUAACAACAGAAGAAGCACCGGCUAACUUCGUGCCAGCAGCCGCGGUAAUACGAGGGGUGCAAGCGUUAAUCGGAAUUACUGGGCGUAAAGCGUUCGUAGGCGGUUAUUUAAGCAAGAUGUGAAAGCCCAGGGCUCAACCUUGGAACUGCAUUUUGAACUGGGUAACUAGAGUACUGUAGAGGAGGGUGGGGGAAUGGCCAGUGUAGCGGGUAAAGGCGUUGAGAUUGGAAGGAACAGCAGUGGCGAAGGCGGCCACUUGGACAGAUACUGGACGCUGAGGAACGAAAGCGUGGGGAGCGAACCGGGUUAGAUCCCCUGGUAGUCCACGCCGUAAACGAUGUCAACUAGCAGUUUGUGGACUUGAUCCGUGAGUGGCGCAGCUAACGCACUAAGUUGACCGCCUGGGGAGUCCGGUCGCAAGGUUAAAAACAACUCAAAUGAAUUGACGGGGGCCCGCACAAGCGGUGGAGCAUGCGGUUUAACUCGAAGCAACGCGAAGAACCUUACCCGCUCUUGACAUCCAGAUAACUCGCUAGAUAUAGCUUGGUGCCUUCGGGAACUCUGAGACAGGUGCUGCAUGGCUGUCGUCAGCUCGUGUUGUGAAAUGUUGGGUUAAGUCCCGUAACGAGCGCAACCCUUGUCCUUAUUUGCCAGCACGUAAUGGUGGGAACUCUAAGGAGACUGCCGGUGACAAACCGGAGGAAGGUGGGGACGACGUCAAGUCAUCAUGGCCCUUAUGGGGUGGGCUACACACGUGCUACAAUGGCCGGUACAGAGGGUUGCCAAGCCGCGAGGUGGAGCUAAUCCCAGAAAACCGAUCGUAGUCCGGAUUGGAGUCUGCAACUCGACUCCAUGAAGUCGGAAUCGCUAGUAAUCGCGAAUCAGAAUGUCGCGGUGAAUACGUUCCCGGGCCUUGUACACACCGCCCGUCACACCAUGGGAGUGGAUUGCACCAGAAGUAGGUAGCUUAACCUUCGGGAGAGCGCUUACCACGGUGUGGUUCAUGACUGGGGUGAAGUCGUAACAAGGUAGCC
rnacentral:rRNA from 1 species